GGCGCUAUGGAAGCCACCGGAGCCA
rnacentral:siRNA from 1 species